GACGUAGGGCGCGAGCGUUGUCCGGAUUUAUUGGGCGUAAAGAGCUCGUAGGCGGCUUGUCGCGUCGACUGUGAAAACCUGGGGCUUAACUCUGGGCCUGCAGUCGAUACGGGCAGACUUGAGUUCGGUAGGGGAGACUGGAAUUCCUGGUGUAGCGGUGAAAUGCGUAGAGAUUGGAAAGAACACCGAUGGCGAAGGCACUUUACUGGGCUAUUACUAACACUCAGAGACGAAAGCUAGGGUAGCAAAUGGG
rnacentral:rRNA from 1 species